rnacentral:tmRNA from 3 species
GGGGCCGAUUUGGAUUCGACGACGGUUACAAAACUUGAGGGGCAUGCCGAGUUGGUAGCAGAUCUCGUAAAUUCGCUGCUGCACAUUUAUAGUUGCCAACGACGACAACUACGCACUAGCCGCUUAAGCCGGCUAGCGGUCACCAGGGGAUGCCUGUAAACCCGAAGUUGACCGACAGAUAGAACAGGAUCGCCGCCAAGUUUGCUGUAGACGUAACGGCUAAAACUUAUACAGCUCGCUCCAAGCACCCUGCCACUCGGGCGGCGCGGAGUUAACUAAGUAGAGAUGGCUAAGCAUGUAGAACCGAUAGCGGAGGACUGGCGGACGGGGGUUCAAAUCCCCCCGGCUCCACCA